rnacentral:rRNA from 1 species
CGGAAAUAAGCUAAGUCCAAGCGUGUAGAAAGACACCGAAGCUAAUGUGUAAGUUAUGGGUGAAGGGCACGGUGGAACGGAGGGAAAACGUCACGGAGGCACGCGACGACGGGCGGCAGGGCCGUUCGGCCUUGCGUCUGGGCUGAAAACGAGGGGUUCGCCAUGGCGCACGGGCCGAAAAAGGGGGCUCGGGCACGAACUCGAAAAUAAGCUAAGUCGAAGCGUGUGGAAAGACACCGAACCUAAAGUG